CAGUGUGUAGUUUAAUUAAAAUAUAAUAUUUGGGUUAUUAAGAUUAUGUCACUGA
rnacentral:tRNA from 1 species